rnacentral:rRNA from 1 species
CAGCCGCCGCGGGAACACGUAGGUCCCGAGCGUUGUCCGGAUUUAUUGGGCGUAAAGCGAGCGCAGGCGGUCAAUUAAGUCUGAUGUGAAAGCCCCCGGCUCAACCGGGGAGGGUCAUUGGAAACUGGUUGACUUGAGUGCAGAAGAGGAGAGUGGAAUUCCAUGUGUAGCGGUGAAAUGCGUAGAUAUAUGGAGGAACACCAGUGGCGAAGGCGACUCUCUGGUCUGUAACCGACGCUGAGGCUCGAAAGCGUGGGUAGCAAACAGGAUUAGAUACCCCAGUAGUCCCUGUCUCUUAUAC